rnacentral:rRNA from 1 species
GGAUGCGAUCAUACCAGCACUAAUGCACCGGAUCCCAUCAGAACUCCGCAGUUAAGCGUGCUUGGGCGAGAGUAGUACUAGGAUGGGUGACCCCCCGGGAAGUCCUCGUGUUGCAUCCCUC